rnacentral:rRNA from 1 species
GUUUCAGCCGCCGCGGUAAGACGAACCGUGCGAACGUUGUUCGGAAUCACUGGGCUUAAAGGGCGCGUAGGCGGUUUGCCAAGUCAGGGGUGAAAUCCUGCAGCUUAACUGUAGAAGUGCCUUUGAUACUGGCGAACUCGAGGGAGGUAGGGGUGGGUGGAACUUCUGGUGGAGCGGUGAAAUGCGUUGAUAUCAGAAGGAACGCCGGUGGCGAAAGCGACCCACUGGAUCUCUACUGACGCUGAGGCGCGAAAGCCAGGGGAGCAAACGGGAUUAGAAACCCUCGUAGUCC